rnacentral:piRNA from 1 species
UCAUUUUUACAGUGCCUUUGGA